rnacentral:rRNA from 1 species
UACGUAGGGGGCAAGCGUUGUCCGGAUUUACUGGGCGUAAAGAGCGUGUAGGCGGCCACGCAGGUCCGUUGUGAAAACUGGAGGCUCAACCUCCAGACGUCGACGGAAACCGUAUGGCUAGAGUCCGGAAGAGGAGAGUGGAAUUCCUGGUGUAGCGGUGAAAUGCGCAGAUAUCAGGAAGAACACCAAUGGCGAAGGCAGCACUCUGGGACGGUACUGACGCUGAGACGCGAAAGCGUGGGGAGCAAACAGG